GCCUAUGGCCAGAUAGCCUUUGAAUGUGCCUGAGAUCUCGUCAGAUCUCGGAAGCUAAGCAGAGUUGAUCCCGGUUCGUGCUUAGAUGGGAGACCACCUGGGAAUAGCAUCUGUUGUAGGCA
rnacentral:rRNA from 1 species